UGCGUAGGCGGCGCGGAAAGUUGGGUGUGAAAUCCCUCGGCUCAACCGAGGAAUUGCGCCCAAAACUUCCGUGCUCGAGGAAGAUAGAGGUGAGCGGAACUUAGGGUGGAGCGGUGAAAUGCGUUGAUAUCCUAAGGAACACCGGUGGCGAAAGCGGCUCACUGGAUCUUUUCUGACGCUGAGGCACGAAAGCUAGGGUAGCAACG
rnacentral:rRNA from 1 species